ACGGGUGAGUAACGCGUAGAUAACGUACCCCUCCGCUGGGGAUAGCCACUGGAAACGGUGGGUAAAACCGAAUAGUCUCUCUGGGCCGCAUGGUUUGGAGAGUAAAACUACGGUGUGGAGGGAGCGGCUUGCGUCCUAUUAGCUAGUUGGUAGGGUAACGGCCUACCAAGGCGACGAUGGGUAGCCGGUCUGAGAGGAUGAUCGGCCACACUGGCACUGAGAUACGGGCCAGACUCUUACGGGAGGCAGCAGUGAGGGAUUUUGCGCAAUGGAGGAAACUCUGACGCAGCGACGCCGCGUGCGGGACGAAGCCUUUCGGGGUGUAAACCGCUGUCAGUGGGGAAGAGAAUGGACGGUACCCACUGAGGAAGCCUCGGCUAACUACGUGCCAGCAGCCGCGGUAAGACGUAGGGGGCAAGCGUUGUCCGGAAUCACUGGGCGUAAAGAGCUCGUAGGCGGGGAAGCGCGUCCUGGAGUAAAUCCAACUGCUCAACGGUUGGUUCAUCUGGGAUACGGUUUCUCUUGAGGACAGAAGAGGAGAACAGAAUUCCGAGU
rnacentral:rRNA from 1 species